AAGUCGUAACAAGGUUUCCGUAGGUGAACCUGCGGAAGGAUCAUCAACAUAAUAAAUACAAAUAAUAACCAUUUGUAACUUUACAAUUGAUAUCAAUAACUUUAAAAAUAUAAACUUUUAACAAUGGAUCUCUUGGCUCUU
rnacentral:misc_RNA from 1 species